rnacentral:rRNA from 1 species
GCAUGGGGGCACCCUGACGCAGCAACGCCGCGUGAAGGAUGAAGGUUUUCCGAUUGUAAACUUCUUUUAUUAAGGACGAAAAACGACGGUACUUAAUGAAUAAGCUCCGGCUAACUACGUGCCAGCAGCCGCGGUAAUACGUAGGGAGCAAGCGUUGUCCGGAUUUACUGGGUGUAAAGGGUGCGUAGGCGGCUUUGCAAGUCAGAUGUGAAAUCUAUGGGCUCAACCCAUAAACUGCAUUUGAAACUGUAGAGCUUGAGUGAAGUAGAGGCAGGCGGAAUUCCCCGUGUAGCGGUGAAAUGCGUAGAGAUGGGGAGGAACACCAGUGGCGAAGGCGGCCUGCUGGGCUUUAACUGACGCUGAGGCACGAAAGCGUGGGUAGCAAACAGGAUUAGAUACCCUGAUAGUCCAAGGGCGAAUUC